UCCUGACUAUCAAGCGAUUGGUAGACACUAGCCAAGACAGGAGAAACUAAUG
rnacentral:sRNA from 12 species